rnacentral:rRNA from 1 species
UGUCCUACGGGAGGCAGCAGUGGGGGAUAUUGCACAAUGGGGGAAACCCUGAUGCAGCGACGCCGCGUGGGCGAAGAAGUAUUUCGGUAUGUAAAGCCCUAUCAGCAGGGAAGAAGAAAUGACGGUACCUGAGUAAGAAGCACCGGCUAAAUACGUGCCAGCAGCCGCGGUAAUACGUAGGGGGCAAGCGUUAUCCGGAUUUACUGGGUGUAAAGGGAGCGUAGACGGCGCGGCAAGUCUGAAGUGAAAGGCAGGGGCUUAACCCCUGAACUGCUUUGGAAACUGCCAUGCUAGAGUGCUGGAGG